rnacentral:rRNA from 1 species
GAUGAACGCUGGCGGCGUGCCUAAUACAUGCAAGUCGAGCGAACAGACGAGGAGCUUGCUCCUCUGACGUUAGCGGCGGACGGGUGAGUAACACGUGGAUAACCUACCUAUAAGACUGGGAUAACUUCGGGAAACCGGAGCUAAUACCGGAUAAUAUAUUGAACCGCAUGGUUCAAUAGUGAAAGACGGUUUUGCUGUCACUUAUAGAUGGAUCCGUGCCGCAUUAGCUAGUUGGUAAGGUAACGGCUUACCAAGGCAACGAUGCGUAGCCGACGUGAGAGAGUGAUCGCCCACCCUGGAACUGGGACACGGACAAGACUACUACGGGAGGCAGCAGUAGGGAAUCUUACGCAAUGGGCGAAAGCCUGACGGAGCAACGCCGCGUGAGAGAUGAAGGUCUUCGGAUCGUAAAACUCUGUUAUUAGGGAAGAACAAAUGUGUAAGUAACUAUGCACGUCUUGACGGUACCUAAUCAGAAAGCCACGGCUAACUACGUG